UACGUAGGAGGCAAGCGUUGUCCGGAAUUACUGGGUGUAAAGCGCGUGUAGGCGGCAGGCCAAGUCUGUGGUGAAAUCCCUCGGCUUAACCGGGGAACUGCGUCUGAUACUGGAUGGCUUGAGUUUGGGAGAGGGAUGCGGAAUUCCAGGUGUAGCGGUGAAAUGCGUAGAUAUCUGGAGGAACACCGGUGGCGAAGGCGGCAUCCUGGACCAACACUGACACUGAGGAGCGAAAGCCAGGGGAGCAAACGGG
rnacentral:rRNA from 1 species